rnacentral:rRNA from 1 species
CAAUAGCGUAUAUUAAAGUUGUUGCGGUAAAAAAGCUCGUAGUUGGAUUUCUACCGAAGAUAGCCGGUCGGGUCUUCGACCUUGUAUCUGGUUUUGUCUUUGGUAUCCUCAUAGGGAACGUUUCUGCGCUUUAUUGCGUGGUGCGGUAUCUAUGACUUUUACUUUGAGGAAAUUAGAGUGUUCACGGCAGGCAAACGCCUUGAAUAUAUUAGCAUGGAAUAAUAACAUAGGAUCUUCGUCCUAUUUUGUUGGUUUCUAGGGCUAAGAUAAUGAUUAAUAGGGAUAAUUGGGGGCAUCUGUAUCAACGUGUCAGAGGUGGAAUUCUUGGAUUGCGUUGCGACAAACUACUGCGAAAGCAUUUGCCAAGGAUGUUUUCAUUGA